rnacentral:rRNA from 1 species
AGUGAACGCUGGCGGUAGGCCUAACACAUGCAAGUCGAGCGGCAGCACAGGAGAGCUUGCUCUCUGGGUGGCGAGUGGCGGACGGGUGAGGAAUACAUCGGAAUCUACCUUUUCGUGGGGGAUAACGUAGGGAAACUUACGCUAAUACCGCAUACGACCUACGGGUGAAAGUGGGGGACCGCAAGGCCCCACGCGAUUAGAUGAGCCGAUGUCCGAUUAGCUAGUUGGCGGGGUAAUGGCCCACCAAGGCGACGAUCGGUAGCUGGUCUGAGAGGAUGAUCAGCCACACUGGAACUGAGACACGGUCCAGACUCCUACGGGAGGCAGCAGUGGGGAAUAUUGGACAAUGGGCGCAAGCCUGAUCCAGCCAUACCGCGUGGGUGAAGAAGGCCUUCGGGUUGUAAAGCCCUUUUGUUGGGAAAGAAAUCCUGUCGAUUAAUACUCGGUGGGGAUGACGGUACCCAAAGAAUAAGCACCGGCUAACUUCGUGCCAGCAGCCGCAGUAAAAC